UGCAACUGUGUCAAAUUGAGUGCCUGCCUUACCCAUGGUAGGUACUGGCACAGAAGACUGCUACAGAAACACUAUGGCUCCUGGGCCCUGUUCCUGUGUCAAGGAUAAAUUUGGUUGCAGACAGCA